AUUGAACGCUGGCGGCAGGCCUAACACAUGCAAGUCGAACGAGCGGCGGACGGGUGAGUAAUGUCUGGGAAACUGCCUGAUGGAGGGGGAUAACUACUGGAAACGGUAGCUAAUACCGCAUACCAUCGGAUGUGCCCAGAUGGGAUUAGCUGGUAGGUGAGGUAAUGGCUCACCUAGGCGACGAUCCCUAGCUGGUCUGAAAGGAUGACCAGCCACACUGGAACUGAGACCCGGUCCAGACUCCUACGGGAGGCAGCGGUGGGAAAUAUUGGACAAUGGGCGAAAGCCUGAUGCAGCCAUGCCGCGUGGGUGAAGAAGGUCUUCGGGUUGUAAAGCACUGUAAGAUGGGAGGCGUUACCAGCAGAAUAAGCACCGGCUAACUUCGUGCCAGCAGCCGCGGUAAUAC
rnacentral:rRNA from 1 species